rnacentral:rRNA from 14 species
GGGUUGUGAGGUUAAGCGACUAAGCGUACACGGUGGAUGCCCUGGCAGUCAGAGGCGAUGAAGGACGUGCUAAUCUGCGAUAAGCGUCGGUAAGGUGAUAUGAACCGUUAUAACCGGCGAUUUCCGAAUGGGGAAACCCAGUGCAAUUCGUUGCACUAUCGUUAAGUGAAUACAUAGCUUAACGAAGCGAACCGGGGGAACUGAAACAUCUAAGUACCCCGAGGAAAAGAAAUCAACCGAGAUUCCCCCAGUAGCGGCGAGCGAACGGGGAGGAGCCCAGAGUCUGAAUCAGCGCGUGUGUUAGUGGAACGGUCUGGAAAGUCCGGCGGUACAGGGUGAUAGCCCCGUACACUAAAAUGCACACGUUGUGAACUCGAAGAGUAGGGCGGGACACGUGGUAUCCUGUCUGAAUAUGGGGGGACCAUCCUCCAAGGCUAAAUACUCCUGACUGACCGAUAGUGAACCAGUACCGUGAGGGAAAGGCGAAAAGAACCCCGGCGAGGGGAGUGAAAAAGAACCUGAAACCGUGUACGUACAAGCAGUGGGAGCCUACUUGUUAGGUGACUGCGUACCUUUUGUAUAAUGGGUCAGCGACUUAUAUUCUGUAGCAAGGUUAACCGUAUAGGGGAGCCGCAGGGAAACCGAGUCUUAACUGGGCGUUAAGUUGCAGGGUAUAGACCCGAAACCCGGUGAUCUAGCCAUGGGCAGGUUGAAGGUUGGGUAACACUAACUGGAGGACCGAACCGACUAAUGUUGAAAAAUUAGCGGAUGACUUGUGGCUGGGGGUGAAAGGCCAAUCAAACCGGGAGAUAGCUGGUUCUCCCCGAAAGCUAUUUAGGUAGCGCCUCGUGAACUCAUCUUCGGGGGUAGAGCACUGUUUCGGCUAGGGGGUCAUCCCGACUUACCAACCCGAUGCAAACUACGAAUACCGAAGAAUGUUAUCACGGGAGACACACGGCGGGUGCUAACGUCCGUCGUGAAGAGGGAAACAACCCAGACCGCCAGCUAAGGUCCCAAAGUCAUGGUUAAGUGGGAAACGAUGUGGGAAGGCACAGACAGCCAGGAUGUUGGCUUAGAAGCAGCCAUCAUUUAAAGAAAGCGUAAUAGCUCACUGGUCGAGUCGGCCUGCGCGGAAGAUGUAACGGGGCUAAACCAUGCACCGAAGCUGCGGCAGCGACACUAUGUGUUGUUGGGUAGGGGAGCGUUCUGUAAGCCGUUGAAGGUGGCCUGUGAGGGUUGCUGGAGGUAUCAGAAGUGCGAAUGCUGACAUAAGUAACGAUAAAGCGGGUGAAAAGCCCGCUCGCCGGAAGACCAAGGGUUCCUGUCCAACGUUAAUCGGGGCAGGGUGAGUCGACCCCUAAGGCGAGGCCGAAAGGCGUAGUCGAUGGGAAACAGGUUAAUAUUCCUGUACUCGGUGUUACUGCGAAGGGGGGACGGAGAAGGCUAUGUUAGCCGGGCGACGGUUGUCCCGGUUUAAGCAUGUAGGCGG